rnacentral:rRNA from 1 species
AUUGAACGCUGGCGGCAGGCCUAACACAUGCAAGUCGAACGGUAGCACAGAGAGCUUGCUCUCGGGUGACGAGUGGCGGACGGGUGAGUAACGUCUGGGAAACUGCCCGAUGGAGGGGGAUAACUACUGGAAACGGUAGCUAAUACCGCAUAACGUCGCAAGACCAAAGUGGGGGACCUUCGGGCCUCACACCAUCGGAUGUGCCCAGAUGGGAUUAGCUAGUAGGUGGGGUAAUGGCUCACCUAGGCGACGAUCCCUAGCUGGUCUGAGAGGAUGAACAGCCACACGGGAACUGAGACACGGUCCAGACUCCUACGGGAGGCAGCAGUGGGGAAUAUUGCACAAUGGGCGCAAGCCUGAUGCAGCCAUGCCGCGUGUAUGAAGAAGGCCUUCGGGUUGUAAAGUACUUUCAGCGGGGAGGAAGGCGGUGAAGUUAAUAACUUCACCGAUUGACGUUACCCGCAGAAGAAGCACCGGCUAACUCCGUGCCAGCAGCCGCAGUAA